AACCCCUGGCAGUAGGCAAAAAGACACCUUGUUAGGUGGUGGUGUUUAUAUAUCAGUCAGGGGCAGAGCAGAUGGCAGGCCUUUGCUCAUCCUAGCUUGAUGGCCUGGCUUGGUGGCCAAAGCUGCUUUAUGCCUAGGACUCAUAG